rnacentral:rRNA from 1 species
GCUCAACCGGGGAGGGUCAUGGAAACUGGGGAACUUGAGUGCAGAAGAGGAGAGUGGAAUUCCACGUGUAGCGGUGAAAUGCGUAGAGAUGUGGAGGAACACCAGUGGCGAAGGCGACUCUCUGGUCUGUAACUGACGCUGAGGCGCGAAAGCGUGGGGAGCGAACAGGAUUAGAUACCCUGGUAGUCCACGCCGUAAACGAUGAGUGCUAAGUGUUAGAGGGUUUCCGCCCUUUAGUGUUGCAGCAAACGCAUUAAGCACUCCGCCUGGGGAGUACGGUCGCAAGACUGAAACUCAAAGGAAUUGACGGGGGCCCGCACAAGCGGUGGAGCAUGUGGUUUAAUUCGAAGCAACGCGAAGAACCUUACCAGGUCUUGACAUCCUCUGACAACCCUAGAGAUAGGGCUUCCCCUUCGGGGGCAGAGUGACAGGUGGUGCAUGGUUGUCGUCAGCUCGUGUCGUGAGAUGUUGGGUUAAGUCCCGCAACGAGCGCAACCCUUGAUCUUAGUUGCCAGCAUUCAGUUGGGCACUCUAAGGUGACUGUCGGUGACAAACCGGAGGAAGGUGGGGAUGACGUCAAAUCAUCAUGCCCCUUAUGACCUGGGCUACACACGUGCUACAAUGGGCAGAACAAAG